rnacentral:rRNA from 1 species
CGGAUUUAUUGGGUUUAAGGGUGCGUAGGCGGCCCUCGUAAGUCAGCGGUGACAUCUCGCAGCUUAACUGUAAAAGUGCCGUUGAUACUGUGAGGCUAGGAUUUGGUUGCUGUGGGUCGAAUGUGUGGUGUAGCGGUGAAAUGCUUAGAGAUCACACAGAAUAUCGAUUGCGAAGGCAGCUCACAAAGCCAAGAUUGACGCUGAGGCACGAAAGUGUGGGGAUCAAACAGGAUUAGAUACCCCUGGUAGUCCACACUGUAAACGAUGAUAAUUCGCUGUCGGCGAUAGACCGUCGGUGGCCAAGCGAAAGCGAUAAGUUAUCCACCUGGGGAGUACGACCGCAAGGUUGAAACUCAAAGGAAUUGACGGGGGCCCGCACACGCGGAGGAACAUGUGGUUUAAUUCGAUGAUACGCGAGGAACCUUACCCGGGCUCGAACGGUGCAUGAAUGUUCAAGAGAUUGGACAGUCCUUCGGGACAUGUAUCGAGGUGCUGCAUGGUUGUCGUCAGCUCGUGCCGUGAGGUGUCGGCUUAAGUGCCAUAACGAGCGCAACCCUCGUCAUUAGUUACCAUCAGGUUAAGCUGGGGACUCUAGUGAGACUGCCACCGUAAGGUGUGAGGAAGGGGGGGAUGACGUCAAAUCAGCACGGCCCUUAUGUCCGGGGCGACACACGUGUUACAAUGGGAGGUACAGAGAGCAGCCAGUUAGUGAUAACGCGCCAAUCUCAAAAACCUUUCUCAGUUCGGAUUGGAGUCUGCAACUCGACUCCAUGAAGUUGGAUUCGCUAGUAAUCGCGCAUCAGC